UUUAAUGGCGAAAGCCUAACUGAACACAACAAACACGUCCAUAAUUUUUCCAGUCAAUUUUAUGUCGUCCUACGGGUAGCCGCUGGCUUGCUCUGUUCGAUCUUCACUUCUUCUUUCUCCGGCGAGGCGCCGACGGUCUUGUCUUUGAACUCUUUGGUCUUUUCUGCUUUUAAUACUUCCUAUUGGAGCAUGUAGUUUAGGCUCAAGCUGGAGCAGUCAUUCUGGCAAACAAAUUCCAAGGAUCUUAUGUUUCGCAAGAAGGCUCUUGCAGACAUGGAAGCAAUCAGUGUGCUGCUUGAGUAGCAGAAAAAUGGUAUUACAAUGGAAGAAAUUACGGUGAAAUUCGAUAUGCAGUCUUCAUGUUGCAUUGGAACCAUGGGCAGUUUAUAAUCUUGCCAUGCAAAUGACAAGUUUGGAGGCUAUGGAGCAAUAUUUCUGUACAGAGGUUGUCCCAAGUAGCUUACAAGGUUUAAUUUUUAUUUUAAAAUAAAUUCAUAUGAACUCAUGGAUUCUUGACAAUGGCCUGGUAGUUAUGUUUCUAAGAAAAUAGGUAAGGUGCUUCUCUUUAGUUGUUGAUCCGCCUGCGAAUACUUCAUAACGUUUUGGGUGUGUUCAAAACCAAAAUCAAAAUCCUACAGUUACAUAAACUAGCAUAUGUGCAUAACAAACAGAAAUUUCAUGCUUGUAACUAAUCCUUGUGUAUGGAUCUACCUUUAAACGAUAUCACA